UGGCCCGUAGACGAAUGGUAAAGUCACCGGAUUUUGGUUCCGGAGUUUGUAGGUUCAACUCCUACCGGGCCAG
rnacentral:tRNA from 1 species